AAACAGGAUUAGAUACCCUGGUAGUCCACACCGUAAACGAUGAGCACUAGGUGUCGGGGUCGCAAGACUUCGGUGCCGGAGUUAACGCAUUAAGUGCUCCGCCUGGGGAGUACGCACGCAAGUGUGAAACUCAAAGGAAUUGACGGGGACCCGCACAAGCGGUGGAACAUGUGGUUUAAUUCGAAGCAACGCGAAAAACCUUACCAGGGCUUGACAUCUAACAAACACUUGUGAAAGCGAGUGGUGCUCUUCGGAGAAUGUUAAGACAGGUGGUGCACGGUUGUCGUCAGCUCGUGUCGUGAGAUGUUGGGUUAAGUCCCGCAACGAGCGCAACCCUCGUCGUUAGUUGGAUGUGUCGGUAUACUUACACAUUCCUCUCUAGCGAGACUGCCGGUGAUAAACCGGAGGAAGGUGGGGACGACGUCAAAUCAUCAUGCCCCUUAUGCUCUGGGCUACACACGUGUUACAAUGGCUGGUACAACGAGCCGCCAACUCGCGAGAGUGAGCAAAUCUCUAAAAACCAGUCUCAGUUCGGAUUGCACUCUGCAACUCGAGUGCAUGAAGUCGGAAUCGCUAGUAAACGCAGAUCAGCACGCUGCGUUGAAUACGUUCCCGGGUCUUGUACACACCGCCCGUCACACCAUGGAAGUCGACCACGCCCGAAGUACGUGAGCUAACCAUUUGGAAGCAGCGUCCUAAGGCAGGGUUGGUGACUGGGGUGAAGUCGUAACAAGGUAGCCGUACCGGAAGGUGUGGCUG
rnacentral:rRNA from 1 species